rnacentral:rRNA from 1 species
UACGUAGGGUGCAAGCGUUGUCCGGAAUUAUUGGGCGUAAAGAGCUCGUAGGCGGUUUGUCGCGUCUGCUGUGAAAACUCGGGGCUUAACUCCGGGCCUGCAGUGGGUACGGGCAGACUAGAGUGCGGUAGGGGAGACUGGAAUUCCUGGUGUAGCGGUGAAAUGCGCAGAUAUCUGGAGGAACACCGGUGGCGAAGGCGGUUCUCUGGGCCUGACCUGACGCUGAGGAGCGAAAGCGUGGGGAGCGAACAGG